GGCUAGUGUCACUGGAUCACAGAGUAAGAGUCUAUGUAUGGUGUAAGGAAAUUGGAAAAGGGGGGAGAGGGAGAAGAGAGGGUUAUUAAGGGCUCUGAAAGCCAAACAGAGAAUUUAGAUUUGACCCUGAAGGACAUAAGGAGUUACUGGUGUUUACUGAAGGGGGACGAGGAGGUAGAUGACAUCCUCGGACCAUUUUGACAACUCUAGGGGAGGAUGGUUGAAGUGGGAAGCAGGCAAGCCCAUCAGCAGGUUGUUGCAAUAGCCACAAAAGGAAUCAUGGGGGAGUGACACUAGGAGUCUAGGUGACUUGAGUUGUAUGAGGGAAGGGAAAGGGACACCCAUCCAAGAUGGUGAGGCGGUCUUUACAAAGCUGAUUGGAUACUGCAGGAAGGAAUCAAGGAUGACUCCCAGGUGUUGCACCCAGAUGACCAUGUAUGGAAUAGAAAGAGAUAAGGUGAAGAACUUAGAGGGAUGUAUGAAUUCUUUUUCUGUAUUUUAUUUUUAUUAUUUCUGUGUUUACCCUAUGACCUGUAUAAUAUGUGCAGGCUCAUAUCUACUUGAGCCUUGGCCAGCUAGAAACAUGUUUACUUAACCUGAGCUGAUGACAUUUAUUGGUAUUUGCCAUUUAUCGAUAUUUACUCUAUUAGCUGGACCACUGUCUGCUUGAUUAAGCCUGACUUUCUGUUUCCCCGAAAUCAGGAGAUUUCGGGGAAACAGAAACCUUCCAUUCCAAUCUCCCCAAAUAGCAACAACCAAUUAGAUGCCUCCCCCUCCCCUUCUCAAUGCUCUUUUACUUGUGAUGUAAUUUCUUGUAUAAAAGCUAUGUAUCUUUACUACUUCUUUAGCCCUCCUACCGCGAGCUUUCUCUUUCUUAUCUUGCGAUGGGACGGCUCAUCCUCCAGAGGUUUUCAAUAAAUAACUUUUCUGCCUUCUACUGAGUGAUCUCUGAGUAGUCAUUUUGGGUAAGGGUCUUCUACAUCCCUCACAACCAGAACCGUGGUAGUACUUUCAGUAGAAAAAGAUGUUUGUGGAGAGAUUUGUCUUGGGAGUAAAGGGAGGGGAGAAGCUAAUGCUAUUUGGGGCAUUAGGAUGAGGGAUCCUCAUGUUCUCUUGCAUAGCCAGGCCACAUCUGGAGGCCGACAUCCUGUUUUGGAGCCACAACUGUUAUGAGUAGGACAGAUUAUUUGCAUUUCUCUCAGCUGGGGCCCAUGUCUGAGAGAGUGGAAAGAGCCAGGUCCCUAAAUGAUUCUCCCAGGGGAUGAUCUGGAGCUGGAGCCGUCUCUUCUGGCUCCUGCACAGGAUCUGUCACCCCCACCGCAGCUUCUCUUUUCCCAUCCGGCUGCAGACACUCCCAAGGC
rnacentral:lncRNA from 1 species